AUGCUGCCCAGCCAUUUGCUGAGGAGCACAGCUCUUGGCGGCAUACAGCUCAGAAUCCUGGAUCCGAGGCCGGGCAGAGACCAGCUGCCUGGUUCCACAGGAGUCUUGUCUGCUGCUCAGAAAAGGACUAACACAAAAUGGACACUGAAAGCAUGGCUUCAGAAGCUUUUAUACUCUAACUCAAUGCCAUCUGCUGGUCACUCUCCAGCAAAGCAGAACAUUAAUGUGAAGGGAGAACUGGAGAAAGGCAAGGAGGAAAACAACUGCUCAACCUUGUUGUGAUUGGUCAUGUCGAUGCUGGGAAAAAGAACUAUGUACAAAUAUGAGCAAGAGUCUAAAAAGGCUGGGGAAGCUUUGAUUUGCUUAUGCCUGGAUGCUGGAUGAGACAGGAGAAGAGAGGCAAUGGGGUGUAACAAUGAAUGUUGGCAUGACCAAGUUUGAAACAAAGUCUAAGGUUAUUAUACUGAUGGAUGCUCCUGGGCAUAAAGAAUUCAUCCCAAACAUGAUUACAGGAGCUGCACAGAAUAAGUCAGAGUUCUUCCCUAGCGGGGAAGAGGCAGCCAGCCGAUGUGGCUGUAUUAGCUGUUUGAAGAAGAGUUUGAAGCUGGAGGGCAAACACAGAUUUAAUGAAGUCAACUCUAAACUUUGGCACUUAUUAAAACAAGCUGGUUUUAAGGAAAGUGAUGUAUACUACAUUCCUACAAAUGGGCUCAAUGGAGAAAACUUGGUUAAAAGCAGUCAAAUAAGUGAACUGAUAAGUUGGUACAAGGGGCUUUGCCUGCUAGAGCAGAUCAAUUCCUUUAAAGCACCACAACACUCUGUAGACAAACCCUUCAGACUAUGUGUGUCUGAUGUUUUCAAAGAUCAAGGCUCUGGAUUUUGUGUGACUGGUAAAAUAGAAGCUGGCUUUCUCCAAACUGGUGACCGGUUACUAGCCAUGCCUCCCAAUGAAACUUGCACCGUAAAAGGAAUCACAUUACACGAAGAGGCUGUUGACUGGGCAACAGCAGGGGAUCACAUUAGUCUCACUUUAACUGGCAUGGAUAUCAUCAAAAUCAAGUGCUGAUACAUUAUCAAACUGUGAGUGAGCCUUCCACUAUCAGGAAGCUGGUCAGUGUACUACACAAAAGUUCAGGAGAUGUGAUGAAGCCAAAGUGUUUGACAAAUGGGGAUGAAUGCAGUGAUAGAAUUACAGACACAAAGACCUGUAACUUUGGAAUUGUACAAAGACUUUAAAGAACUUGGAAGGUUCAUGUUGCACUACAGUGGAUCAUCUAUAGCUGCUGGAGUUGUUACAGGUACAUCUGUGGUUCUUUAUCAAUUAAAAAAUGUAUAUAGAUUUGUAGCAGGAAUUUGAUCAUACUGUAAAUAAAAUCUUCUUAUGUCGUAUGACUUUGUUCCAUGUGUUUUAUUUCUGGAUUUGAGUUUUAUUUCUGAAUUUCUGAAUUCCCUUUCCUGUAUAAAGUUUAGCACUAAACAUAGUUUUAAAAGGGCACUGUCGCAGCCU